GGAGUUUUUUGGCAGUCGUAGUAGAAACACCCGCAUUUGCACGAGGGACAAGUGGAACUGCCGAAAACCUUGUCCAUGUAUAGCCGGACACAAGUCCAAAGCACCGACCAGCAACCCAGCGCCUAAAUGGCGCGACCCGUCCUACAUUUUUGCAAGUUGCCGCUCAGGGCCGAAUGGACAGGCCAGGGAUUUGAACCCGAGCCCUUUCACUUCGCAGCCACGAGUGCUAGGACCUGAUUGUGAGCUACUACGUUCGUUCCGGCCUAUAAUCUGUCAGAGGCUAACACUAGAUUUCCGGAUCGAGCAGCCCGUAGGAGUGCCGUCGUAUCAUCAGCCUGAAAGAUAUAUCAAAGACAUAAUUGUUGUUGUUGAAGGAAUUAUUACAUAUUUAUAGUUAUACUAUUUAGUAAUGUACUCAAAGAAGACUCGUCGUACGUGCCGG